UACAGAGGGGGCAAGCGUUGUUCGGAAUUACUGGGCGUAAAGGGCGCGUAGGCGGCCUGUUAAGUCGAACGUGAAAUCCCCGGGCUCAACCCGGGAACUGCGUCCGAUACUGGCAGGCUUGAAUUCGGGAGAGGGAUGCGGAAUUCCAGGUGUAGCGGUGAAAUGCGUAGAUAUCAGGAAGAACACCAAUGGCGAAAGCAGCUUUCUGGGACGGUACUGACGCUGAGACGCGAAAGCGUGGGGAGCGAACAGG
rnacentral:rRNA from 1 species